rnacentral:lncRNA from 1 species
GCCAUUUUGUGCAGUCUGUCCUUGCUGAUCCUGCUCAGCAGAAGGCUGGACUCCAUGACUUUCAGAGGUCCCUUCCAACCUUGGCCAUUCUGUGAUUGUGGGAUCCUCUAGCCCCCUGAAUCACAGACAAAUGAGAGUGGUGGUGCCAUAUUUAAUCGGCAGGCACACCUUGGCCAAGCUAUUUUUAACCAUUCACGAGGGAAUUUAGACAGCAGAUCCAUUGGGCCCAUGUUGGCACAACAGCCACGGGCAUUUUAUGCCUUCCGUGGGGAUGGUGCUGGCUGUCGGUGGAGGGAUGUGGCCAUGGGGCUGAGGCUCAUUCUGGGAAGGAUCUGGGUGCACUGUAGACACUAAGCCUGUCCUUUUGUCCUGCCAGGCAAUGUGGUGAGUUCCCCAGCAAGUCCAUCACCCUCAGGUGAGUGAUUCCCUCCUACACCCCCAGAAACCCGAGCAUGGGGAGUGGGCGUGCUGUGCUGCCUUCCCCAGGGCAUGGGGACAAGCAGGAGCUUUACCAGGCAGGAGCUGUUCCAGCUGCACAGGCACGUCCUGCUCCCUGCCUCUCCCCAUCACACCCCGCUGCCCUCACACCCUCUCUUCCCCAGCUCAAAAUUCCUGGAUCCCACACACCCUCGCCACAGGCACGGCGCUGGCAGUGGCGGCCGUCGGCCUCGUUGUCCUGGCUGCAGGCAGCUGGUUUGCCAUCAGGAAAGGUGAGGGAGUGGGGGAAGGAGGGAGAAAGGCUGAGGCCAUGGGGGUCCUGCUGCGGGGCUGGUGCAGUGGGAAAGGUGGUGGGGGACCCUGGGGGUGCACAGCUGGGGCAGAUGGUGCCUGGUGGUUAUGGCUGUGUGCAGCCCAGCUGGGGAGGCUGCUGAGGGAGCUGGGGAGCUUCAGCCUUCAUCUCCCAGCCCCGAGAUGGGAGCCAGGGCUGGGCAGCACCUUGGCCUGUGCACCUCAGCCCCUGUUCUUCUUGCAGGUGCCUGCAGAGGGAGAUGCCCAAGGCAGCAGCACGUUGACAGCCCACAGAUGGAAACCACAGACCAUGGCGAAGUCACAUGUGAGUACUACCUCCUCCCUUGGCGGAAGCCAUGCACCCGUCUCAGGUGGAAUCCCACCCCUUCAUUUCCCACUGGGACAUACAAAAUCCCUGCCUGUUCAUCAAGGCCAGGUUUCUCUCCAGCACCUCAUGUCCUGCUUCUUCCUUGCAUGCAGAGCGCGUGCGGCUGCUGCCUGCACAAGGGACAUGGCAGCAUCCCAGUGCUCCCAGGAACAAAGCCCAUUUGCUUGUGGGGUCCUUCCACACCAGCUCCGCCCUCAGGCUGCAUUUCCCCUGAUUCAGCCUCUGCUUUUGUCCUUUCUUCAGUUUCUCUUCAGAGUCAUUUCUGCUUCAAGAACUACACAAAGCACAUCACAGCAACGAAAGAUGUGGCUCUGUUUCCUUGCACUGCUGGGGAAAACAUUUUAUAGCUCAUUCUGAAACCACAGGCAGUAGCCAAGGGAGGAUGUUGUGGUUGGGCGACAGGCUACAUAUAUAUACCUACCUGACGUGUACGUAGCUCGAGUUGCAGCUUGACCUUUUUUACCCACUCCUGCACAGCGCAUUUUGCAAGGUGUGCUGGCUGUGCAAAGAGAGGCAAGGCCACAGAAAGCUGGAAAGACACCAAAACCUCAGCAUCUCUUCUCCACUGUUGCUUAAUGCAUAUCGCAGAUCAGGGUGAUGGGAGGGGAAAUGUGGUCAGGCGUUGAGUGUUAACCCAGGAAGCUGAUGCCCAAAGCUCGUGGGGGUUCACCUCCCUUCAUUCAGCAAGGGCUCAUGGUGUGUUUUUUCCCCACAGACUCCACCAUCGCCCAUGUUCAACGGGACAGGGUGAGUCAUGGCACAGCUGUGCACAGCUCCUUUCUGCACUCCUGCAGCCUGAUGCACGCUCAUUGUGCAGGGCUCACAGUCAGGAGCUGAAGUAACAGGGUUUCAUUUCUCCCUAAAACCUCCUCCCAUGCAGAAGACGAGCCACACCACGACAUAUGCCACGGUGACCCGCACCCAGACCCGAUAGCGCUGCCACAGGGCAAGGGCACAGGAGCCUUGUCCACAGAUGCCUUUUCUCUCCUGCAGAGUUCUUGUGCAGUCAUAUCAUGGGGCUGCGGGGUGCACUUUGGGCUUCUCUGGAAUUUUUUGUCACAGGGAAGGGCUGUGUGUGUCUAGCCAAGAGGAUGAAGGACUCAUAUCUCUGUUUGCAAUAAAUUAACACCUCUAAAAUAUAUCA